rnacentral:ncRNA from 1 species
AUAUGAGGCCCAGUUAGAGGCCUCACUAACCUGGGGAGGUUAGACUUCCAAAUGGGUAGCAGCGGCACCCUUCUGGAUAGACGGCAACCAGAGACCGGGCUUGUCAGACCUGGUCGGGAAACCCGUCUU